AGGUGGAAAAAGAGGCGGAGGCGGAGUGAGUGGGUGACAGGCAGCUCUUAUACUUCUCUUAUCUCAUCAACAACAUUGGAGUAACUUUGGCCGCCGUCCUUGUCUCGAAAACAGGGACGAGUUAUGGCUCAGGAGACUACAAAGACGGCACUGGGCUAUGAAUGAGCGGGUUGAUUGAUGGCUGUCAGGGUUCUUUAGUAACAAGGUAACGAGGAAGCACCAGUGAAGAAGCCUCGUCAAGCUGUAACUAUGAUCGACUCAACGAAAACGAAACAGCAUCACGAAGCUUCGCCCGACAAACAUCACACACUCGGCCUCGUCAGCGGCUGUGGUCUCGCUCUCACCAGCAGCGCCACCUUCAGGCACGAGCAACAGGGACCGAGGAGCUGAAGAUCGAUAAGGCUGGGUGAGAGGAGCAACCCGCGGCAGGGCGUGUGUGUCGCGGCGGCGGGCGUGGGGAGGCGCGGGAUAAGUCGUGAUAAUCAAUCCGCUGAAGAGGUAGAUGAGGCGUGAAAGGAGGAGGAGGGGGUGAGGGAAGACUGUUUGGGGAAGUAGGGGUUGAGGGCAGGCGUGAAGGGUAGAAGAAGGGGGUAAGGGGAGGCUGUUUUCA